rnacentral:tRNA from 1 species
GUGCCCGUGGCUUAAUGGAUAAAGCAACUGCCUUCUAAGCAGUAGAUUGCAGGUUCGAGUCCUGCCGGGCACGCCA